rnacentral:rRNA from 1 species
UACGAAGGGGGCUAGCGUUGUUCGGAAUGACUGGGCGUAAAGGGCGCGUAGGCGGUUUGAUAAGUUUGGUGUGAAAGUCCUGGGCUUAACCUGGGGAUUGCAUUGAAAACUGUCAGGCUAGAGUCCGAGAGAGGAAAAUGGAAUUGCGAGUGUAGAGGUGAAAUUCGUAGAUAUUCGCAAGAACACCGGUGGCGAAGGCGGUUUUCUGGCUCGGUACUGACGCUAAGGCGCGAAAGCGUGGGGAGCAAACAGG